ACCAGAACAAAUUCCUCAUAUUGUGUGAACUAUACCUGGCAAUAAACCUGAUUCUGAUUCUGGUUCUGAUUCUGAUUCCAGGGAAACUGCUUGAAUAGUUUCCUAUUAAUUGAUCUCAUUUAGGUGCAAUCCCGCGGGGGAGAAGCUCACUUGGCAGCAGCUGAAGAUGAAAUAUAAACACACUGUUCAAACAGCCAACAGAAAGAAGGCAGAUGCCCAUAAAACAGGUGGUGGUCCAGCACCACCACCUCUAAUGGAGGCCAGUGGCUGAAGGAAUCCCUGGAGGGAGCUCAUCCUCUGAGCCCACCCCCCAAGACACAAGUGCCUUUAUAAAGUAUUGUGAUGGUGCUGUCUGCCUGGUGGAGCCCCCUCACGCCACAGCACACCUUGUAACUGUAAGUAGGCGAUACUCCGUAG